rnacentral:rRNA from 1 species
CUGGCUCAGGAUGAACGCUAGCGACAGGCUUAACACAUGCAAGUCGAGGGGCAGCAUAAAAGUAGCAAUACUUGGUGGCGACCGGCGCACGGGUGAGUAACGCGUAUGCAACCUACCUAUCAGAGGGGAAUAACCCGGCGAAAGUCGGACUAAUACCGCAUAAAACAGGGGCACCGCAUGGUGGUAUUUGUUAAAGAAAUUCGCUGAUAGAUGGGCAUGCGUUCCAUUAGGUAGUUGGUGAGGUAACGGCUCACCAAGCCGACGAUGGAUAGGGGAACUGAGAGGUUGGUCCCCCACACUGGUACUGAGACACGGACCAGACUCCUACGGGAGGCAGCAGUGAGGAAUAUUGGUCAAUGGGCGGGAGCCUGAACCAGCCAAGUCGCGUGGAAAAGGAAGAAGGAUCUAUGGUUCGUAAACUUCUUUUGCAGGGGAAUAAAGUGCAGGACGUGUCCUGUUUUGUAUGUACCCUGAGAAUAAGGAUCGGCUAACUCCGUGCCAGCAGCCGC